CCCUCAAGGACAGACUUUGGACACCCCUGCCCUAAAAGAAAGACAAAAAUAAAACAAUAGUAAAACUGUGAUACAGUAGCAGUACAAUAUUGCACUUUAUCCCAUUAGUAGUGCCAUCAAUGCUACUGGCAGCAGAGGAAAGCUCAGGUUGGUCUUUUAAAACAUUUCUUUACAGGCAAAACAGCAGCGAGUGUCAAUCCAGGUGUAAUGCUGAUCAGAGACUCAUCAGAAGACUAAAAAAAAUAGAGCAGAUUAUUAAUACAAUGCUGAUGGAAAAUAUAACUUACAGCAGCUGCUUACCACACUUACCACACUGCCAGAUAAACAGACCCGCAGUGCAGCUGUAACAAAAUGCUAUGUAAAGGCUUUGGGGGAUGGAUGUUACCUAGCCAGGCUAGCCCUUACCUUCCCGCCAGCAAACAAAUAAAUGGACAGAUCCGUCCAGAUGUUGGAGGUGCAGCAAAGAAGGCUAAACAGAUCAGACCAGUUUGCAUUAAUGGCUACUAUUAAACCUGACAAAAAAUGAAACAGCCACCCUUACCCAGCACAAUUUAACAAACGAAGGAAGCAGAUGGAGACAAUGGCAUGAUGCAAGCAACCUCAUGACAGGUGGAGACCUGCUUAUAUGCAGCAGCCAAAAUUGGCCUUGAAGUGGCAGCGUACAAUUUAUGCUGCUACAGUAACUAGAUAAGAAAACUAGACACACUGCAAGGGAGCUGAAAUAAGGAACAACUAGAAACUGGGGUUUUGGCUCUCUGUGGGGAUUUUCUGUUUGUCUGCCGCUUCUCUCAUCAUCCACUAGAUCAGGCGUGUCAAACUCCAGUCAUCAAGGGCCACUGUACUGCAGUUUUUAGAUGUGCCACAGGUACAAAACACUUGAAUGAAAUGGCUUAAUUAUCUCCUUCUUGUUAGGAUAAGCUCUCCAGAGCCUUGCUAAUGACCUAAUUAUUCUAUUCAGGUGUGGUGCAGCAGAGGCACAUCUAAAAGUUGCAGGCCAGUGGUCCUCCAGGGCUGGAGUUUGACACCUUUGCACUAGAUAGUGCCAAGAGGCUGCACUUACCUGUCUGAAUCCAGACAGUGUGCCUCCUGUCUGGAUUCAGCGCGCCUGUGAUCAAACACCUCAUCAUCUAGGAGUAUAUGAGGAGCGGCCUGCCAGCACUUUGACGCCUGAGUGUUUGCCAGUUAUGGUACUCUGAUGGAGUCUGCUCUUUGAGUUAUCUAAAGAUUGUUCUCAAAUAAUAUUUUCCUGUCGCCUCUCCCUUGGGUGUUUUCCUCAUGGUGCCUUGGAUUUUACCCACUGGUUGCCUGAGACCCUCUCCACCUCAGCUGAAGAAUCAUCGACAGUUCCUGGUUUCACGGCUGGCAAUCGAACCGUUCCUUGCCUUUCCUCACAAGAACUUACCUGUCCGCCCUCCACCGCAGGCCUCUUCCAUUUACCUCCAAAGAACUCUCCAUCAAGAUCACUCAAGGAUCAUCUCAAGAACCCCAUGCAGAGACCACAACCACAGUACUUCUCGCCCUGGCGGAAACUCACUAUUUCACAAAAUAAGACCAAUCCACUACCUCAGAAUUCAACCUGUCCAAGUUGCCAUCGACUCACCAUCUCUUUCCCACUGCCUUCAGAGUUCUGAUGACCCCAGCUUCCCUUCCACAGGACAAGAACCACAAAAUCUCAUAUUUCAUCAUUGUUAAAAUAAACUUUAUCUGAUUUCCUGUCCUCCUGAUUGUGUUCUAUAUAUGGGGGCUAAAAGAUGUGAGCCCAACAUGACAGAACAUUCAGGCCUGCAGUCACAGAUGCUCUCAGGAGAAGUAUGGCAGAACAACAUUCUCUAAUUCAAUCUCAUGAAAUCGCUUUACAAGACUUGGGUGCUAGCCAAGCCGAAACUAACCAUCGCCUCAAAGACUUGUCUAAGUUUUUACAAAGCUCUCUCCAACAGACCCCAGCUUCAGCUCCUGCCCUUGCUCCCAGUCCAGAACCACCGGUCCACAACCACCGUUCCACUCCACAUUUUCCGAAGUCCGUCCAUCUACUUUCAGGUGAUAAACUGAUGUAAGGGUUUCCUUCUACAAUGCUCUCUUAUAUUCAAUCAUUCCCCUAGAAGUUUUUCCCAUGAUGAUGCUGAUAGCUUUCAUAAUUUCACUUUUGACUGGCCGAGCAUUAGACUGGGUUGAAGCAAGGUUUCCUACACCUGCUGAUUUUGGUUGUACAUUUCAUGACUUUUUGUAAGAAUUUAAAUAUUUAGUAAAGAAUCCGAUAAAACAUCCAACCCCCAUGAACUAUGGACAAUAAAACAAGGGCAGAAUUGUAUAAUAGCCUUCACUUGGGAAAUCGAAGAUCUCAUCCGUCAAGCUCAACAAUCUGAACCUCUCCCUGACUCAGUCCCUCGCAACAAGGUCUUCAUCCUCAGUUCCAUCCGAGCCCGUUUAAUUCAUUGGGUCCACUCCGCUAAAUUCUCAGCUCACUUCAUCACAUCAACCUCGAUCCAGUUUUCUGCAACCUCUGUCCAUCCCCAAGCACCCCUGGUCACACAUUUCAAUCGACUUCGUCACCAGGCUCCCAGUUUCUAAAGGUAUGACCAUAACCUAACAAUUAUUGACACCUAACAAUUAUUGACUGUUUCUCUAAAUCAUGUCAUCUCGUCAUACUCAAAAAACUCCCCACAGCCUUCCAGACUGCUCACAACUCCAGCAUGUCUUAUAACCAAGAAAUCUUCUCUGAUUGUGGUCCACAAUUCACAUCCCAUGUAUGGAGACAUUUCUGUUCAGCAUUGGAAGCUAAAGUCACACUUGCAUCCAGUUAGCAUUCCCAGUCUAAUGGACCGACUUAAAUGCAUGAAUCAAGAACUUGAAUCCACCCUCAGAUGCUUCACUUCCAGUACUCUGUCUGAUUGGAGUCAGUACAUCCCUUCGGUUGAAUAUUCACAUAACACUCACAUUUCUUUUCCUUAUUUCCCUGGUUUCAUUUUUCAUCUGAGGGAAAACACCACUGUUUCCCUCAAAUGAAAAAGAUCUCUGUGACAUCUGUUCAACACUACAUCCGCCGCUGCAAAAAUAUCUGGAAUAGAACUAUCAUUGCCCUCAAUCACACCGCUAAACAAAAUUGACGUUAUCCUGAACGCAAGAGAACACCUUCCCCACAGUAUUCACCUGGACAAAAGGUUUGGCUUUCUGCACGUGACAUCCCUCUUAACUCCAUGUCCAAAAAAACUCUCCCCCAUGUUCAUUGGUCCCUACAUAAUUGAAAAGGUCAUCAGUUCUACCGCUGUCUGUCUCCGCCUCCCAUCAUCAAUUUGCAUCCAUUGCAUGUUCCACGUUUACAAAGUCAAACCUGUUCAGACCAGCACAUUUUGCCCUCCUUCCAAGCCCCCUCCUCCCACCUGAGACAUAGAUGGGCACCCAGCUUUCACAGUUCGCCGGGUCGUGGACUCCCAUCGACGAGGUCAUGGAUACCACAUCGAUUGGGAUGGCUAUGGCCUGGAAGAGCGUUCUUGGGUCCCUGGAUCAUCUAUUCUUCGCUUACCACUGACUACCAUUCUUCUCUUCCUUCACGCUCUUCUGGGCCACCAGGUGGCAGUCAUUGAGUGGGUGGGGGUAUUGCUGGAAACUGGGGUUUUGGCUCUUUGUAGGGAUUUGCUGUUUCUCUACUGCUUCCCUUAUCAUCCACUAGAUGGUCCCAAGAGGCUGACUUACCUGGAGGAUGUGCCUGCUGUGUGGAUUCAGUGCACAAGUGAUCAAUCACCUCGUCAUCUUGGAGUAUGUGAGGAAUGGCUGCCAGCACUUCGACGCCUGAGUGUUUGCCAGUUAUGGUGUUUCCUCUUGGCGCUGUGGAUUUUACACAUUGGCUGCCCGAGUCCCUCUGACUGAGGAAUCAUUGACAGCUCCAGGUUUCACAGCAGGCAAUCGAACCACUCCUUGCCUUUCCUCACAAGAACUUACCUGUCCACCCUCCACCACCAGCUUUUUCCAUCUACCUCCAAAGAACUCUCCGUCAAGAUCACAGGAACCCGGAUCGUCUCAGGAAUCCCCAGCAAAGGGACUACAAACCCAGACACCACAGUACACACAGUCUUGCCCUGGCGGAAACUCCACUUCACCAAGAAGAUCAUUCCACUGAAUCAGAAUUCAACCUGUCCAAGUUGCCAUCUAUUCACCAUCUCUCUCCCACUGCCUUCAGAGUUCUGACGACCCUGGCUUCCCAUCCACAGGACAAGAACCACAAAAUCUCAUAUUUCAUCAUUGUUAAAAUAAACUUUAUUUAUCCGAUUCCCUGUUCUCCUGAUUGUGUUCUGUAUGUGGGCUAAAAGACGUGAACCCAAUAUGACAAGGAUUAAAGAAAUAACCUAACUAGGACCACUUAAGGAAGAUAUACAUAGAAUCGGACAUAUAAGAAUAACUAGACUGACGAAAUAACUAAGAAACAUAACAGGAAACACUACAAGGGAACUGAAUGAAGGAAAGCAAGAACCAAGACCAUACUAACCAAAAUAAU